ACCUGGUGAACCACAGCAUGAGCCAGAUGUACUUCAUGUUGCCUUAAUCUUGUCCACAGAAACCAACUACGCUGAAACCAAGGGUACUGUUGAACAGCAACACGCACUGGAAGCAAUACAAACAGCAAACUUCAGGAGGGCGUGGGUGUAUGAAGAGGCAAUGAUGAUGUGUGACCACACCGAUUCGGUUCCUCUGAGAACACUUCAUACCACAAACACACUUUAGAGCUCAAGCCGGUCAGCCACUUGCUCCUACUGCUUCAUGCAAAGGAAGUCUGGUAAAGAAGAUGAAGGAACAGGAUGAAAGUCCCAUAGCUGAGAGCCAAGAACAGGACCUGGGGGGUACACCAAUUCCUAGUACACAGUUGACUACAGAACAACAACAACAACAAAAUAAACCAAAUACAAUGGGAAAAACUGAAGAAAAUAGUUAAGUGGGACAAAGGCAACAAAGUAGGCAGAAUCACAAGAAGAAAGAAGACCAAGGGAAAAUUUCAAGAACAUUUUUUAAAGUAAGAAAGCAUGGAAGAAAUGACUGAAUAUUAUAAAUAUAGGAUGGUCCCUGUUUUGCUGGAAUAGCAGUCUGAAACCAUCAUUUAUCUUGGUCUGGGUGGAGCUGAGGUCUGGGAAUUCCCAUAUAAGGUAGUUUGUUCAUGCUUACUUCCUCAAGCACACAUUACACCUCCUCAUCUGAAAAAGGCACUGGAAGAAAAGAUUCUUUGGGAAUGACAUCCACACAUACAUUAAAGGCUGUGGUUUCCACUCCUAAUGGUUAGUAGAUUUGCCAAGACACAGCAUCCUCGCAACCCCCACCCAAAUACGGUUCAGCAUCUAGCAGUCAACACCACAGAGCCUUCCUGUGGUCACUACUGGCAGUGGUGAUAAAGGUCGGUAUGACCUUACUGCUCUCCAUAAAUAGCCCUUCAGUCAGUAAUGUCCUUGCAUGAUAUGGUCACAUUCUUUCCUUUCAAGAGCAGCCCUGCUUUUAUGUAUGGUACCUUCCUUCCACAGAGCUUUCCAUCUCAGGUGAAGCUGCUUUCUUGCCCCACCAUAAUUCCUCUCAAUGACUUCAAAGCAGGGCCUCCACAUUCGAUUUUUUUUUAGGAUGAGUCUGUCUACCUUUUUUUUAGAGCUAUGCUGUCUACUUUGGUAGCCAGUAGUCACAUGUAGCAACUUGAAAUGUGGCUAGUCUGAAUUCAGAUGGACUUUAAAGUACCCACUGAAUUCUCCUGGUAACUUUAAAAUGCUGAUGACAUGAUAUGUAUAUAGCUUGGACAUGAUGACAGUUUGAUAUAUUGGGUUAAAUUAAACAUAUUAUUAAAAUUAAUCUUCCCUAUCUCUUUUUUCCUGUUUUAAAUGGUUACUAGAAAAUCUUAAAACUACACAUGCUGCUUACAUUGUAUUUCUACAGGAUAGCACCAUUCUAGAUAGUACAAUAAGCCCUGCUUAUUGAAUACGCUCAGUAGAAAGAAACCCUGGAAUCCUUUCAUUUCAAACGAUCUCCUGUCGGCCAGGCAACUUUCUUCAUUUGCAGGUGAGAUUCUUCAUCUGUAAUGUAGACAAAAUAAACCCCCCUCACAGACUGGUAAGGACUGAGAACACAAAGAAAGCAUUUUAAGCAUUCAGCAACACUAAAUGUGUUCUCAGUAAAUGUCACUUCCCUUUCUGUGGGUGCAUUCAGUAGCUGGUUUAGUCAUCUUGGGGUUAGUCAUGGAACGUCUGGAUUCCAACCCUCUUUGUUCCUUUUUCUCCACUCUAAUCACUUCCACAGAAUUCACCAUAACUUAGAGGGCAGGGGUCUGUGGUGAACUUUCUCAGCAAAAGCUACCCCUUCCCCGCAGCUGAAUUUUCUACUCCUACCACUUGUCGACCAUAUCCUUCCCACCUCUUCUCUGCUGGUGCAUUCAUUAAUAAAUUAUUAAAAUUAAUCUCAAAAUUCUGGCUGCUGCUCAUUUUCUCCUUUGGGCUGUUACCAGUAGCUCACUGCUAUUGUCUGAAUUUAAAGGGAGCUUUGUUACUAUUCUAGCUAUUUCAUGUGUGAACACUUCCUUCCCCUCAAGUGCAUGGAUAUCCUUUACUUACCACUAGGGUCUCACCAGAUAUGUAAUGACUGAAGGUUCUACAAUGGUCCUAGAAAUAAGUAAAAUAAAACUGAAUGUUGACUUUUAAUUACUGACCAGGCCAAUCAGGAUUACAGGAAUGAAAAGUACCUUUUAUGACUAAGAAAUCACAUCUGACUUGGCAGUCUGGUGUUAUUUCUGGCUGGUUUAUCUGCGGAAAAUUCACUUUAUGAUUUCUUCCCAGCUGUUGCUAGCAGUGUGCUAGGCUGGCAGCCCUAAGAGUUGAAUCACCCCCAUGGAUGAUACUAUUUUCUCCUUCCCCACCCAACCUUUCCCAGAUACUUGGCAUUUUUUAGUAUUAUACAGGUGCUAAUUGUUCUGAAAGUCUGGCUUAAAUUAAAGUUUAUUGUAAAUUGACGUAAUCUAGCAUCUGGAUAUCAUUCUGUGUCUAUGUCCCUUUUCACAAAGACAGCAACUCCAGGUCUGGGUAGGCUUGAGAGUGGGGAUGGAGAAGUAACUCCGGCAAGACCUUUUCCCCAGCAUUCCUUUAUAGAAGGCAGGCGGUGAGAAGGAAAGAAUUAGUGAGGGAAAGAAAAGGCAAUCGAAGGGGAGAAGAUUUAAGAAAGAAAAAAGCAAAAGAAAGAGAAGAAUGGCUUUUUUCACAGUAGAAGUCACACAGUGGGAGGCUUGGAUAAGGUUUAGAUAUGUUUGGAAGUAGAGAAAAACCAUGAGACUACCAGGCACUAAAGUGAAUUUAGUUGCUUUCAAACCCUGAACUCUAGUAAUUCUGGAUCUUAAAGGAGAUAUGCAUAAAUGAUGCAGAGUAAACUAAAAAACAAAGGCAGAGAAUGAUUGGAAGUCCCUCAAAAAAGUUAAACAUAGAAUUACCACAUGACCCAGCAAUUCCAGUUCUGGGUAUAUAUCCAAAAGAACUGAAAACAAGGAUGCAAACAGGUAUGUGUACACCCAUGUUUACAGCACCAUUAUUCACAAUAUCCAAGGUAUGGAAACAACCCAAAUGUCCUCCACAACUGAAUGUUAUAUACAUUUUACUAUUAAUACAAUAAAAAGGGGAACAUUUGUUGUUCACCUAGAUCCCACCAAAUACCAAGCUAGGAUCCUUUUACAUACACUACUCACAGAUUAAAUACUAUUGCCAUUUACAGAUGAGGAAUCUGCAACUCAGAUAUUAAAUAAUUUGUUCAAAAUCACACAAAUGGCAGAAGUAAAAUUUAAACCCAAGGUCUUUCAACUUACACCACAGUAUUUCAAGGAUAAAUAGGCUCAGUGAAUAAAGAACAAGUGAGAAAAGUAUAUGCUCCUUAUGGUCUGAAACUGUUAAAUAAGUGACAAGAAAGACCAUAAACAGCUGAACCCAAAGAACUUGGUAGUCUAAAUGUCUUCCCAGGCUGCAAACAAACUUUCUUUUAGCAUAGCACAUUUUAAAGCCCUAUAAGGGAAUCUCUGCCUGUUCUCCACACACCCCCCUCCCACACACAAAAAUUGGUAAAAGUUGUUUUUCAAUUUUUUUAGAUUCUGUAUUAUAUGUCCCAUCUGGGCUGAUAAAGUAUCCUUUUCUCCCAACAAUAUUAUCAUACAUUUGUGGCAACAUUUGGGGUAUAAAAUACCUCCCCACCUGCCACUUCACUUAUUUUAAUCAAGCACUCUACAGGACAUCAACAUUUCAUCCUGUAACUAUUCUGACAAACUGCGCCUCAGAAGUGACACACCGACUCAGAGCUAAAACACUGCUCCUGUAUACCUCUUUCUCCUGGAACUAAUGGGUCAAUCAACAUAUGGCUAACUUUUGGGCAAGACCCAAUUUAAAAUCACUGUAAGUCCCCGCAUUAAAAAAACAAAACUAGGCUGGGCGUGGUGGCUCACGCCUGUAAUCCAAGCACUUUGGGAGGCCGAGGCACGUGGAUCACCUGAGGUCAGGAGUUCGAGACCAGCCUGGCCAAUAUGGUGAAACUUCGUCUCUACCAAAAAUACAAAAAUUAGCCGGGCAUGGUGGUGCGUGCCUGUAAUUCCAGCUACUCGGGAGGCUGAGACAGAAGAAUCACUUGAACCUGGGAGGCGGAGGUUGCAGUGAGCUGUGAUCACGCCACUGCACUCCAGCCUGGAUGACAGGGCGAGACUCUGUCUCAAAAAAAAAAAAAACAAAAACUAAAAACACUUUUAAAAGUUCCCUUAAAAGGCCAAGCAUGGUGGCUCAAGUCUGUAAUCUCAGCAUGUUGAGAGGCCAAGGCAGGAAGAUCUCUUGAGGCCAGGAGUUCAAGACAAGCCUGGGCAACACAACGAGACUCUGUUUUUAUAAAAAUUUAAAAAAUUAGCCAGGCAUGGUGGUGUGUGCCUGUAGUCACAGCUAUCUGGGAGGCGGGAGCAGGAGAAUUUCUUGAGCCCAGGAGGUCAAGGCUGCAGUGAGCCAUGAUCGUGCCACUGUACUGUAGCCUGGGUGACAGAGCAAGACCUUGUCAAUCAAUCAAUUUUUUUUAAAAAAAAGUUUCACUGAAGGCUUCCUCUUUUUUCUGGGAACUUGUGGAACUACUGACAUCAAGAAACUAUCAAUGAGACUUCAGACUCCUUCCCACGCCUCUGACAAUGCCCAGGUUCAGGCCCCACCGCAUCAUUUGCUCAGUCCUUUGCUACAGGAUGUUCACACAUCUGGCAUUACCCAUGGAAACCAUUUCUCAGUCACCUUUGUGUCCCCAGAACCUAACACAGUGCUUAGCAUGGGGCAACCACUCAAAUGUCAACUGAAUGAAAGACCCACUGACACAUCCUUUCCUAUGGUAUUGCUAUCUUGCUCUUUAGUCCUUCUAAUCCAUUCUCUACACUGUAAUAUUAGCAAACACUUCACUGCAACAUCACAGAUGCUUCCCUAAUGUCCCCAAACUUUACACUGCCCUCAAGACCAAUACUCCACAUACACCCUCCCUCCCUGCCAUUCUUAUCCUUCAAACAUUCCAGCACAGUAGAUAAUUUUUGAAUUUCUUUCAUUCAUUCAACAUUUAUUUACUGAGCACUUACUGCUCUGGGCACUGGGAAUACAGAGGUGAACAAGAGGAAACAAAGCCCCUGUUUUAACAAAUCUUCCAGGCUAAAGCGGAAAACACAGCACAGAAAGGAAUAGGGCAGGGGGUAAAUCCAGAAAGCACUUGCAGCCCAGAAUAAAAACUGGAUGUUAUUCUAGGUGAGAUGGAAAGGCAAUGGAGGACUCUGAAGAGAGAAGUAACACUGACCUGCAAACCUUUGCUCAAGCUGUUGCCAACUGUGCCUAGAACAACACUCUUUUCCAUCAUUUGUCAAAUUCUUCAAAGCCCAACUCAAAAGUCACUACCUCCAUGGUGCCAUCUCUUAGAAUUGAAGGGGGUUCCCCGCUCUUUUUGGUUAGCUUCAAAAACUUGACACUACCUGUGAUGGCCUGAUGUUUAGUUAUUUUUGUAUAUUUUUUAAACUACCACCAAGUGUUUAUGUUCAUUCAGAAUAUUUUAUUCUAUUUUCAUUCUAUCAGCUAUGAAAAGUGCCUUGUUGUUUGCAAACUAAAAAGCAUGUACCCUUUUUAUCAACUAAAAGACCAAAUUAAAAUGAUCAUCCUCUUUUUAAUGUUUUCUUUCUUAUCCAUGAAAAAUACUUGUGUUCUCCUGUUCAUUAUAACUAUUCCUUAUUUCCUGAUUAUGUAUGUGAAUGUACAUAUAUACACAUGUGUACAUACACACAACAUAUAUCUAUAUAAGAGACUGCCUUACACAUGCAAUCGGUAUCACUCUUAAUGUUCUUGAAGGUUAACUGUAAAAUCAAUGCUUUUGCAAAUACAUUUAAAUCUCUAGGAAGUCCACUGUAUAAGGCAAGUCAUGUAGUAAAGCAAAAGAUUCUUUUGUGGGUAAAUAAUCACCCCUUAAUAAAUGUUUUCCAAAUGUAGGUCUGAGGCAUUACAGUUCCUUUAAGAGUGGCCUGCUGGGGGAAAUUCCACCCAACAGCAACAGAAUACAUAUUCUUCUCAAGUGCACAUGGAACAUUCUCCAGGACAGGUCAAGAAGGCUGAAAUUACAUCACGUAUCUUUUCUGAUCACAAUGGUAUGAAACUAGAAUAGUUUCUACAGUAACAGGAGGACAUGGAACAUUAACAAAUAUGUGGAAGUUAAACAAUAUGCUCCUAAACAACUAUCGAGAUAAAGAAAAAAUUAAAGGGGAAAUUAAAGAAG